rnacentral:lncRNA from 1 species
GAAGGAAGAGGAAAACAUUCUAGAAGACAGCACAGCCUGUGCAAAGGCAUGGGGGCACCUCUUUCCUUAGACAUGCAGAGCUACAAUCUACAAGAUCUGACCCUGGCCUGGAGGAGGUGGAGGCAAUAUCCGGAGAGAGAGCGAGAGAUUCCUAUAGAAUACAAGACAAGACUAUCACAAUGACUUCAACAUGACUUGCUCUAGGAUGACCAAAGGAAGGGGAUCUGAAUGAGCCAUCUUAGAGGCUCCAAGGUGCCUGCUUCAGAACACUGAUGGAUGACUACAUGCGGGCUGAAGGUAAUGAGGUUGGUCAGCUGGAGGGCUUUCACCAGGCCCUUAAUCUGUCACCCCCUUGACACCUGCCUUCCCCUGAAAAGUGACAAAUGAUACAUUGAGUCAUGGUGGUAAUGUAAACCUCAGUGUAUUCUAGAAUCCCACAUCUACUGUUCUUAUGACAAGCACUUCUUUUAUGUACAAUUCAUUUUUCUCUGGAAAGCUCUGUCUAGACAUAGUCUUAGUUUCCACGGAUAUCUCAUAUCUUUAAUGCACUCUUCCAGGCUUGAUGAACAAAGUACAGAGUAGGCAAUGGGUUUUUCUGAAGGACUGAGUUAGGAUUUGUUUAGAAUCUGAACUAUGGUUCACUCUGAAUAUACACCCUUUUUGCAUAUACCAGGACAUAAGGAUCUUAACAAUCCCCGACUCUACACAGUUGGUGUGAAUUUGUUUCACUAAGCAAG